UACGAAGGGUGCAAGCGUUAUUCGGAAUCACUGGGCGUAAAGGGUGCGUAGACGGUUUGUUAAGUUUGUCGUUAAAGACUCUAGCCUAACUGGAGGGUUGCGAUGAAAACUGGUGGACUAGAGGGUGAGAGAGAGAAGUGGAAUUCCUGGAGUAGCGGUAAAAUGCGCAGAUAUCAGGAGGAACACCGAUGGCGAAGGCAGGUCUCUGGGCCACUACUGACGCUGAGAAGCGAAAGCAUGGGGAGCGAACAGG
rnacentral:rRNA from 1 species